rnacentral:rRNA from 1 species
AUGACCAAGCUACUACUACCUCCAACCAAGCGACUGGACAAAGCACAUGUCAGCACAAGUGGAAGCAAGGAACCAGUCACAGGCACCAACACAGGAUCAUAUGAAAUAUUCGGAAGGAUAGAAGAAAUGUUGAAACAAGUACUCGACGAAACAAAACAGAUACCCGGAAUAACGACCAGGGAUGGACACCAAUGCAACAAACAAGAGAAGGAAUUAUAUGAAAGCAUGAGGAACACAGUGGUGCAACAAACAACGGCUGUGAUUGAUUCUCUCGAACAACUUAGAGAAUUCCAGGACAUUGUUCACAGAGUGAUCUUUCAAUAA